rnacentral:rRNA from 1 species
UACAGAGGGUGCAAGCGUUGUUCGGAAUUAUUGGGCGUAAAGGGCGCGUAGGCGGUGCGGUAAGUCUGUAGUGAAAUCUCUGGGCUCAACUCAGAGUCUGCUGCAGAAACUGCCGUGCUUGAGUGUGGGAGAGGUGAGUGGAAUUCCCGGUGUAGCGGUGAAAUGCGUAGAUAUCAGGAGGAACACCAAUGGCGAAGGCAGAUCUCUGGGCCGUAACUGACGCUGAGGAGCGAAAGCAUGGGGGAGCGAACAGG